UUUGCUUUCUUCACUCAGUCACUAAACCCACUAACACACUCUCUACUACUCCCGUUCUCUUCCAUUUUCACAUAAGCCACUACCAUCAACAGUAAUUACUACCCACUACCAUCAGCCACAAUAAUAAUCCUUACCCAUUGCUAUCAUCCUCUCUUUCUCUUCCCUUUUCACAGAACCCACUGCCAUCAACAAUAAUCCCUACCCACUGCCAUCAGCCUCUCUUUCUCUUUCCUUUUCACAGAACCCACGUCUACUGCUAAUUUAUUUGAGAAUUCCCUUUUCAGCUUCAGAGUCCCGUCGUUCUUUCUGCCUUCAUCGUGCAUCGCAUCUUUCCGUCGUCCUCAACGCCGUCUCCCCCUUCAUCGCUACACUUCAAGAAUUUCAAUGGAGCCCCAGCCUCAGGAAGCAUCAAAUAGUCAAAGACACACAUAAUUGGCACCGUCCACAAUCAUAGUUCAUGAAUCAACAAAAGCACCAUCCUACAAGUUCAGCAAAAAGUAAAAAAUGAAUCUAAUAAAAGCCAAAUUUGAUUAACUUAAAAGUUAAAAUCACGAUUUACACAUAAUGUUCUUACAUCCUUCACUAUAAUCUUGUCUGAAAGUCCAAUUCUUGGUAAUAGCCAUUCCAACACAUACAAUGAGGAGUUUUUCAUAAUUGCUUGUAACAGGUUGAUCAUCUGAAAAGCAAGAAUAUGCUAAAGUCAUGGCUGAUGGAUAAAAAAAUUAGUUAUUAACAAUGGGAAUGGAGCCCAAACCUAAAUUGCAUAGAAAUAUUCUGUGUAACAAAGGACUUCAAGAAGGUAAGGGGCGCCAUAAAAUUAGACAUAUUAAUAGUGAUGACUGUAACAAAAAAAAGGUACAGUUUUUAAUAAACAACAUGUGAAUAUGUGAUUGAGGAGCAAUAAGCACCACGAUAAGUGCAAUUGAGCAUGCAGCA